CCAGACUCCUACGGGAGGCAGCAGUGGGGAAUAUUGCACAAUGGGGGAAACCCUGAUGCAGCGACGCCGCGUGAGUGAAGAAGUAUUUCGGUAUGUAAAGCUCUAUCAGCAGGGAAGAAAAUGACGGUACCUGAUUAAGAAGCCCCGGCUAACUACGUGCCAGCAGCCGCGGUAAUACGUAGGGGGCAAGCGUUAUCCGGAUUUACUGGGUGUAAAGGGAGCGUAGACGGCUGAGCAAGCCUGAAGUGAAAGGCGGGGGCCCAACCCCCGGACUGCUUUGGGAACUGUACGGCUGGAGUGCAGGAGAGGUAAGUGGAAUUCCUAGUGUAGCGGUGAAAUGCGUAGAUAUUAGGAGGAACACCAGUGGCGAAGGCGGCUUACUGGACUGUGACUGACGUUGAGGCCCGAAGGCGUGGGGAGCAAACAGGAUUAGAUACCCGCGUACG
rnacentral:rRNA from 1 species